UACAAGAUGACUGCCGAAGACAGCAGGUGCCGUAUGGCGUAAGUUGAAAUCGCCUGCCGAGGAGUACAAGUUCUUUUUUGAAUGGAUUUGUGUGCCCCGUAUCUUCGGAUACGGGGUUUUUUC
rnacentral:sRNA from 1 species